UACGGGGGGGGCAAGCGUUGUUCGGAAUUACUGGGCGUAAAGGGCGCGUAGGCGGCCUUCUAAGUCAGACGUGAAAUCCCUCGGCUUAACCGGGGAACUGCGUCUGAUACUGGAUGGCUUGAGUUUGGGAGAGGGAUGCGGAAUUCCAGGUGUAGCGGUGAAAUGCGUAGAUAUCUGGAGGAACACCGGUGGCGAAGGCGGCAUCCUGGACCAACACUGACGCUGAGGAGCGAAAGCCAGGGGAGCAAACGGG
rnacentral:rRNA from 1 species